rnacentral:rRNA from 1 species
UACAGAGGGGGCAAGCGUUAUUCGGAAUUAUUGGGCGUAAAGGGCGCGUAGGCGGCAUUGCAAGUGGAAGGUGAAAUCCCUCGGCUUAACCGAGGAACUGCCCUCCAGACUGCGUUGCUUGAGGCCGGGAGAGGUGAGUGGAAUUCCCAGUGUAGCGGUGAAAUGCGUAGAUAUUGGGAGGAACACCAGUGGCGAAGGCGGCUCACUGGACCGGUUCUGACGCUGAGGCGCGAAAGCGUGGGGAGCAAACGGG